UUGCUCUCCAAUUCUUCUCCUCUCGACCAUUUUCACUACAUAUAGAGAGCAACACAACAAAGAAAGGGAGAAAAAAAUCAGAAACCUAGCAUCUUUCUUCCACCUAAAAUACACCCUUCAACACCCAAAAACACAACAGUAACUCCUCACCAAAACCUCAUCUUUCUCAUGUCAUUUUCAUCACCAAAACAACCCCUUUUGCCCCAGCCAAAAACCAAUCCAAAAGCAGCCAUAAAAACUCAUUAAAGCAACUCCAAAAUGAGCUCCAAAUAAUCAUCAAACUCCACUUGAAAUCUGCCGCAAAACCUCUCAAAACUCAGCAGUAAAACGGCCACCAAAUAGCUGCACAAAUACCCCCUUUUCCACUUUGAAGCAACCACAAAACGUCAUUAAAAUCACCCCUGCAAAAUCAGCUCCCUUCCACCUUAAAACAAUCCCCAAAAAUGCAGCAAAAUCAGUUGCGAAAUCAGACUAAAAAUGAGCUGAAAAGGGGGACUAAAAUCCAGCCCCAAAAAGCAGCGAAAUUAGCUCCAAAACAUCUCAAAAUCAGCCCCAAACUCAACCAUGAAUCACCUCUAAACUCCAGCAAAAUCCAGCCAUGAACUCCACAAAAUUACAACUGCAAAACAGUCCUAAAAGCCAGCCUUCCACCUCCAAAUACCACCGCUAAAGUUGCUGGAUCGGGGCUGUUUAGGUCAAAGUUGAGGUCCAUGUCGUGGUUCUCGGGUCGAGGUUUUGUUCGCAAUUUUGGUGUUGUCGCCGGAUUCCAUUUCUACUAGCUGAACAACUAUUUUGUUGAAUAAGAUCUUGCUCAAAUAAAGGUCCAUCCUCUACUCUACUAUUUCUAUUAGGCCACACACUUGCUCUUAUUUGUCAUAAACUGUAAGCACCUAAUUUUUUUUAUCAUAUUUAAAUUUUUCACCAUAUUGUAAAUAUAUUUUUUUGAAUUUAAUCUACAUAUUUUAGCUUUUAUUUUACCUUUUAUAGAUUUUAUUUAAGAAAAUUAAAAAUGAUAAAAAAGAGUAAUAUUUUUAGGAUAAGUUUUAUCUUCACUUACAAAGAAAGAAUUGUUUUUCAAAAAAAGAGAUAUAGUUUUUCUUUAAUUUAGUGCAAUUUUUAAGUUUAGAGACUUUCAACAAAUACAUUAAGUAUGUAGUACUUUUACCUUGUUAUUUUAAUUUAGUAGAAAUAUUAAUUUUACCUUUUAUUCAUUAUCCAUUUUAAAAGAAAAAACAAAACAAAAAAGAGAAUAAAUCACUUUUGGGAUAUAACAUUUUAGUAACAAACUUUGUCUUACCCAAAAGAUUCCCUCCACUCAGGUCACUCACAUGCUCACACCAGCACUCACUCUUUCUUGCUCUCCAAUUCACACCCCAAAAAUACUCCCAUUCAGCUAUAUAAACACACACACACACCAGAGAGGAACAGAGCAGGGGACGGACAAAAUUAGACCAAAAAGGCAGCAAGCUUUCUUCUUCUUCCACAGAAUUUCAAAAAACUUAUCUCCCUCACUUGGCUUCACUAUAGAACCAUUGUUUACUCCUAAAAAUCAGUCAUGAAGUCCCAACUCAAAACCAUCCAAAACACCAUCGUUUACAGCUGAAAAAACGCAGCAAAUUAGCCAUGAAAACAAAGCUGAAAACCAACCAAAACUCACCCCAAAACUGACCCCUCAACAGCCAUAUAAGAGCUCCAAAAGACCAGCCAUUUUCACCUCAAAUUAGGCCUCAAAACGCAGCUGAAAAAGCUGCUAAAAAUGCAGCAAAAACAGCUCUAAAACUCAACCAAAACUCAACUGAAAAACAGCACUAAACAGUCCCAAAAUCAGCUCCAAACGCAGUCCAUAACCACCCAAAAAACGAUCUGAAAAAUAAGCUGAAACUCCAUGAAAAUCAGCCCCAAAAACGCUUUCUUCUUCCUCCAAACAACCAUUAAAAGCGGCAAAACGCAGCUGCCAAGUUCACCCAAAAACAGUCCCUUGCUCAUCGUCGAAACGGAGAAUACCGGCGCAUUCUUGAUUAUCGUCGGAAGUCGCUGUUCGAAGGGGUGAAUGUUCGAAGGUUCUGGCCUGGUUUCCAGUCGGGUCUGUUCGUGUUUAGCUUCGUCGGCCUAAUUUUCUUUGUAAACCGGCAGGAGGCUCUUUGAUAAAUUGAAAGCUAUAAAAGGUCCAUUUUCUUGCACUUGCAACUUUAUUUUUGUCUUCUCAACUUUGCUAGCCGGAGCAAUGUCUUAGAUCCAUUUUGUUUUCUUUGGUGUUAAUAUAUCUUCGUAAUGACGUUGCUUGUUUUCUUGAUAUUUAAUUAUCCGUUUGUUUGGUGCUACAUUGAUGUGCAAGACCAUUGGGUAAAAACGUACAAUGAUAAGGUAAAAAGAGAUGUAAAUGGGUUUCAAUUCUAUUAGUUUUUGUUAUUAUAUUCGUUGGAUUAUCA
rnacentral:lncRNA from 1 species